AUGCGAUACUUGGUGUGAAUUGCAGAAUUCAGUGAAUCAUCGAAUCUUUGAACGCACAUUGCGCCCAUUAGUAUUCUAGUGGGCAUGCCUGUUCGAGCGUCAUUUCAACCCUUAAGCCCCUGUUGCUUAGUGUUGGGAAUCUAGGUCUCCAGGGCCUAGUUCCCCAAAGUCAUCGGCGGAGUCGGAGCGUACUCUCAGCGUAGUAAUACCAUUCUCGCUUUUGCAGUAGCCCCGGCGGCUUGCCGUAAAAACCCUAUAUCUUUAGUGGUUGACCUCGAAUCAGGUAGGAUUUCCACAGCUGAACUUAAGCAUAUCAAUAAGCGGAGGAA
rnacentral:rRNA from 1 species